rnacentral:lncRNA from 1 species
UGUGUAUCUGCCUCGAGUUCCCGUCAGCAGGUCAUGGUGCACUCGGCACACCCAGCCUCAGACCCCAGCUCAACAUUUUCUAGCUGGGUGACCUUGGGGCUCGGCCACUUAAUCUCUCUGAGUCAGCCUCAUGUGAGAAUUAAAUGUGAGUCCCUCAAAAACUCUUUCCUUUCACAGAAAUGAGUCAUGACAGCAGUACAUGCCUGUAACCCCAGAACUUGGGAGGCUGAGGCAGGAGGAUCACAGAGUUUAAGGGCAAGUGAGAAGAUGACAACAACAUCCCAGUAUGAAGGAGGAGAACCCAAGAAACAAUCAGACACACCCGGAAUGUUGACAUUCACAGACCAGUAGUCUUGCCGCUGAAAAACUCCAUGAUGGUUUCAUAACUACCUCGUUCCUAGAUCAAAUCCCCUCCUGCUUCAGAUACCUAAAGGGAACUUGGUUUUGCUGACCACAUCCACCUCAGGACCUCACUGCAGAGUGAGGAGGCCUCUCUCAAGAAGGCAACUCCCUACAGAAAGAGUUCCACUGAAGAACAAAAUAAACAAUGGAAAACGUGGAGACAGAGCUUUACAUAAGCGGGCAGAGGACCAAGAGAUGACGGGGGCAGGGAGAUGUAGCAAGAACGAAGAUGCGUGGUGUGUGUGCCACAAUGAGUGUAAUCAGCAUGCACUGUAAACAUGUACCAAUAAAAGUUUUUACAAAUUA